rnacentral:rRNA from 1 species
AACAAACGCUGGCGGCGUGCCUAAUACAUGCAAGUCGAACGGGGAAAGCUUUCGGGUGAGUACUAGUGGCGCACGGGUGAGUAACGCGUGGAUAAUCUGCCUUAGAGUGGGGGAUAACUAGUCGAAAGAUUAGCUAAUACCGCAUAAGACCACAAGACCUGCGGUUCAAGGGGUCAAAGGUUUUUCGCUCUAAGAUGAGUCCGCGUAAGAUUAGCUAGUUGGUGAGGUAAUGGCUCACCAAGGCGACGAUCUUAACUGGUCUGAGAGGAUGAUCAGUCACACUGGAACUGAGACACGGUCCAGACUCCUACGGGAGGCAGCAGUAGGGAAUAUUGCACAAUGGAGGAAACUCUGAUGCAGCGACGCCGCGUGAGUGAUGAAGGCCUUCGGGUCGUAAAGCUCUGUCGCAAGGGAAUAACACAAUGAAUGUACCUUGCAAGAAAGGAUCGGCUAACUUCGUGCCAGCCGCCGCCGUAAGAC